rnacentral:rRNA from 1 species
GAUGAACGCUGGCGGCGUGCUUAACACAUGCAAGUCGAGCGAGAAGUUUUGAAAAGAUUCUUCGGAUGAAAUUUAAAAUGGAAAGCGGCGGACGGGUGAGUAACGCGUAGGCAACCUGCCCCAUACAAAGGGAUAGCAUUUGGAAACGAAUAUUAAUACCUUAUGAAACUUAACUAGUGCAUGCUAGGUAGGUCAAAGAUUUAUCGGUAUGGGAUGGGCCUGCGUCUGAUUAGCUAGUUGGUGAGGUAACGGCUCACCAAGGCGACGAUCAGUAGCCGACCUGAGAGGGUGAACGGCCACAUUGGAACUGAGACACGGUCCAAACUCCUACGGGAGGCAGCAGUGGGGAAUAUUGCACAAUGGGGGAAACCCUGAUGCAGCAACGCCGCGUGAACGAUGAAGGCCUUUGGGUCGUAAAGUUCUGUUCUAGGUGAUGAAAACUGACAGUAGCCUAGGAGAAAGCCCCGGCUAACUCCGUG